rnacentral:rRNA from 1 species
GGCUCAGGAUGAACGCUAGCGGGAGGCCUAACACAUGCAAGUCGAACGGGAUUGAGAGCUUGCUCUCAUGAGAGUGGCGCACGGGUGAGUAACGCGUAUGCAACCUACCUUUAACUGAGGGAUAGCCCAUAGAAAUGUGGAUUAAUACCUCAUAGUUCUAGUAGAUCGCAUGAUUUGAUAGAUAAAGCUCCGGCGGUUAAAGAUGGGCAUGCGUGACAUUAGUUUGUUGGUGAGGUAACGGCUCACCAAGACUACGAUGUCUAGGGGUUCUGAGAGGAUGAUCCCCCACACUGGUACUGAGACACGGACCAGACUCCUACGGGAGGCAGCAGUGAGGAAUAUUGGUCAAUGGGCGCAAGCCUGAACCAGCCAUCCCGCGUGCAGGAUGAAGGCCCUAUGGGUCGUAAACUGCUUUUAUACACCAAGAAAAACACCCACGUGUGGGUGCCCGACGGUAGUGUAUGAAUAAGCAUCGGCUAACUCCGUGCCAGCAGCCGCGGUAAUACGGAGGAUGCAAGCGUUAUCCGGAUUCAUUGGGUUUAAAGGGUGCGUAGGCGGCUUUUUAAGUCAGUGGUGAAAUCUUGCCGCUUAACGGUAAAAUUGCCAUUGAUACUGAAAAGCUUGAGUACAUUUGAGGUAAGCGGAAUGUGUAGUGUAGCGGUGAAAUGCUUAGAUAUUACACAGAACACCGAUUGCGAAGGCAGCUUACUAAACUGUUACUGACGCUGAUGCACGAAAGCGUGGGGAGCGAACAGGAUUAGAUACCCUGGUAGUCCACGCCGUAAACGAUGAUCACUCGCUGUAUGCGAUACACAGUAUGCGGCCAAGCGAAAGCAUUAAGUGAUCCACCUGGGGAGUACGAUCGCAGGGUUGAAACUCAAAG